rnacentral:rRNA from 1 species
GACGAACGCUGGCGGCGUGCCUAAUACAUGCAAGUAGAACGCUGAAGGAGGAGCUUGCUUCUCUGGAUGAGUUGCGAACGGGUGAGUAACGCGUAGGUAACCUGCCUGGUAGCGGGGGAUAACUAUUGGAAACGAUAGCUAAUACCGCAUAAUAGUAGAUGUUGCAUGACAUUUGCUUAAAAGGUGCAAUUGCAUCACUACAGAUUGACCUGCCUUGUUUUAGCUAGUUGGUGAGGUAACGGCUCACCAAGGCGACGAUACAUAGCCGACCUGAGAGGGUGAUCGGCCACACUGGGACUGAGACACGGCCCAGACGCCUACGGGAGGCAGCAGUAGGGAAUCUUCGGCAAUGGACGGAAGUCUGACCGAGCAACGCCGCGUGAGUGAAGAAGGUUUUCGGAUCGUAAAGCUCUGUUGUAAGAGAAGAACGAGUGUGAGAGUGGAAAGUUCACACUGUGACGGUAUCUUACCAGAAAGGGACGGCUAACUACGUG